UGUAUUGCGGCUUAUAUUCUUCUUUUGGCUUCGCCAAGGUCCGUUCCCUCAGGACCGGAUCGGCUUCCUUCUAAAGGGGCCCGAUCCCCCAAACGCGGUCGAUAACAGAAGCAACUCCGGUUGCUCCUGACAUGAAAAAAAAAUAGCCUUGAAGUCAUUUAACGUUCAAUCUCUCCGGUGUUGAGAAAGGUGAGGUAAAAGUACCUUAAAUAAAUAAAUAAAAUAAAGUGCUCUCAAGCUGCAUUCAUUCUCUAUGUCAGACUAAGUGCAGCUUCUAAAGUGUAUUCUAAAUCUAAUUGUUAUGAUUAUUAAUUAUUAUUGUUAUCAUCCUGCCAUUUGCACUGAUUGGGACUCCAAGCUGCUUACUACGUAGAUCCGCUACCUUGGCGGAAAGUGUUUUGAGGAUCGGGACAUCUGUAGGGAUACCAAGGUGCUUGUUUAUAAAGCUGUUAUCCUCCCAACCCUGCUUGCAAAACUUGGACUGUCUACAGACGUCACACUCAACUCCAGGAAUGAUUCCAUCAGCGUUGCCUCUGAAAAAUCCUGCAAAUCUCUUGGGAAGCUAGGUGGACAAACAUCAGCGUGCUAGAAGAUACAAAGACCACCAACAUUGAAGCGAUACUCCUACACCAUCAACUCCGCUGGACUGGCCACAUUGUCCGAAUGCCCGAUCACCAUCUCCCAAAGCAGUUACUAUACUUCCAACUCAAGAACGGGAAACGGAAUGUUGGCGGACAGGAAAAGAGAUUUAAAGAUGUGUUUAAAGCUAACCUCAAUAACUGGCAUAGACACCAAUGACUGGGAAGUCCUGGUCCUUGAGUGCUCUAACGAGGUCAGCUGUGACCAGCAGUUCAGUGGAAUUUGAACAGGCAUGAACGGAGGGUGAAAGGGAGAAAUGUGCCAAGAGAAAGGCGUGUCAAGCCAACUCUGACCGGGACCGCCUUUCACCUGGAAACAUGUCCUCACUGUGGAAGAACAUGCUGGUCAAGAAUAGGGCUCCACAGUCACCUACAUACCCAUCUCCAAGACACUACACUUGGAAGGCCAUAUACUCGAACAACGAGGAAUCGUCUAAGUAAUUUCUGGGAAGCCCUGCCGUGUCACAAUUCUCAGAGGAAAGAAUGGGAUAAGAAGAAUUAUGUGCUCCAUUAUAGUGACAGGAGGAGCCGAGAAUGAUUUCAGUCGGAGGCUUCACU
rnacentral:lncRNA from 11 species